GUAUAUAUAAUUUAAAUAAAAUAUUAAACUGUGACUUUAAUUAUGAGAGUUAAAACCU
rnacentral:tRNA from 1 species